rnacentral:misc_RNA from 1 species
UGGACCAAGAGACUGCCCAAGACAGUGAACACAACAAUUCUUCCUUGCCGAUUGAACCCUGGUACGGUAAGUAAUUUACAUCAUGGUACAAACUGGAACCAGUGCGCGCUCACGUGCAUCCGAACACCUAGAUAUCCGCAGCGGUGGCCGGUGGGCGGUGGCGCCUCCACCCCCUCACUUGCCGGGCACAAAGUUGGUGGCAUAGGCCCAUGCGUUGUUGUUGACGGGGUCGGCGAGGUGGUCGGCGAGGUUCUCGAGCGGGCCCUUGCCGGUGACGAUGGCCUGGACGAAGAACCCGAACAUGGAGAACAUGGCGAGGCGGCCGUUCUUGAGCUCCUUCACCUUGAGCUCCGCGAAGGCCUCAGGGUCGUCGGCGAGGAUGCUCUGCGCGUGGAUCAGGCUCGGGUUGCCGAGGUAGUCCAGCCCACCCUCGCUGAAGAUCUGCGACCCGGCCUUGAACCACACGGCCUCGCCGAACUUGACGCCGUUGCGGGCGAGCAGCUCCGGGAACACGCAGCCCAACGCGCCCAGCAUGGCCCAGCGGGAGUGGAUGACCUCCAGCUCCCGGUUCUUGGCGAACGUCUCCGGGUCCGCCGACAGCCCCGCGGUGUCCCAGCCGUAGUCGCCCGGGAACUCGCCCGUCAGGUAGCUCGGGGGCGCGCCGGACAGCGGGCCCAGGUAGAGCACGCGGUCGGGGCCGUACCACGGGCUGCCGGAGCUCGCCGCCGGCUUUGCCUUCGCCGCCGUCUUGCGCAUCGUCACGCGGGCCUCGCCGAAGAGAGACGACGGCACGUUCACUGCCUUGCCGGCGAAGGCUGUGGAGGAGAGGGCCAUGGUGCUGCUCGCCAUUGCGCUGCUUCUGCUUGCACUGGUUUUAUGUGAUGGCGAGGAGUGUGAAGACUUGAGAUGCUGUGGAGACGAGGAGACGACGGAGG